rnacentral:tRNA from 1 species
GGGGUUGUGGCUCAGUGGUAAAGCACUUACCUCACAUGUGAGGCACUGGGUUCGAUUCUCAGCACUGCA